rnacentral:rRNA from 1 species
GAUUGAACGCUGGCGGCAGGCUUAACACAUGCAAGUCGAGCGGUAACAGGAGAAGCUUGCUUCUYGCUGACGAGCGGCGGACGGGUGAGUAAUACUUAGGAAUCUGCCCAGUAGUGGGGGAUAGCUCGGGGAAACUCGAAUUAAUACCGCAUACACCCUACGGGGAAAAGGGGGCGCUUGCGCUCUCGCUAUUGGAUGAGCCUAAGUCGGAUUAGCUAGUUGGUGGGGUAAAGGCCUACCAAGGCGACGAUCUGUAGCUGGUCUGAGAGGAUGAUCAGCCACACCGGGACUGAGACACGGCCCGGACUCCUACGGGAGGCAGCAGUGGGGAAUAUUGGACAAUGGGGGCAACCCUGAUCCAGCCAUGCCGCGUGUGUGAAGAAGGCCUUUUGGUUGUAAAGCACUUUAAGCAGUGAAGAAGACUCUAUGGUUAAUACCCAUAGACGAUGACAUUAGCUGCAGAAUAAGCACCGGCUAACUCUGU